rnacentral:rRNA from 1 species
UACGAAGGGUGCAAGCGUUACUCGGAAUUACUGGGCGUAAAGCGUGCGUAGGUGGUUUGUUAAGUCUGAUGUGAAAGCCCUGGGCUCAACCUGGGAAUUGCAUUGGAUACUGGCAGGCUAGAGUGCGGUAGAGGGUAGUGGAAUUCCCGGUGUAGCAGUGAAAUGCGUAGAUAUUAGGAAGAACACCAGUGGCGAAGGCGCUCUACUGGGCCAUUACUGACGCUGAUGGACGAAAGCUAGGGGAGCGAAAGGG